GACAAAUAAACAAUAAAAAACUAAGACUCUACAUUGAUAAAAUGUCUAUGUAAAUUUUAUGUGCAUGUGUAAAACUACAAAAUCAAACUUAAAAAUAAACAAAUAUUGUACUCAGCAACUAUAUUCAAAUAUAAAAAAAGGAAAUAAAUAGAUACAUUAACAAAAAACAAUGUCAACAGGGUAAAUAACCUUCUACUAAAUUAAACAUUUUAAAAUAUGAGGUGAUGCACACAUCUUUCAUUCUAAGAAGCAAACUGAAAAUAUACCAAUUAAAUUGGCUAAAGCUGUGUGUUGAGGCCAAAAAAAUGCUGCUGCAGCUACAAUUUAUAUAUAUAUCUCAUCAUUUGGCUGAUCAUAAGAUGAUUUGCACGAAUCAAUAUUCAUAAAAAAAACCCAUCGUAUUAACAAUUUAGAAAUUAACAGCUUAAAGGAACAUUUAGAACUAAAAGAGGCUCGCAGGUAUAAGAUUUUCAGAAAAAAUUAAACAUUUAUUUUUCAUAACAAAUUUUAUUUAUUACCUUUAGUAGUUGUUACUUUAUCAUAUGGUACACAAAUCAUUCCAAAAAAUCAAUUUGUAUUGGCCCCAGGUGACUUUUAAAAUGUAGAUAUGAUUGAAAAGCUCCAAAUUAUCUCCCUUUGGUACAAAAAUGCCAUUUUUUGGCAUAAAAUUGAAAUAUCUUGUUUAACUCAUCAAUAACCUUAAUUUUUUAUGGUUGUUUUUGAAUAAGCUGUACAUAAACUAAAUAAUGGUAAAAUUUAAGCGAUUUCUGUAAUUUAGUUCUUUUUUUAUUUCGAUAUUACCGCUAUUUCUCCUAUUAGCUAUAUAGUUCAACAGAAAAUAAGGACAUUAACAAAAAUGUAUGCUUCUUUCAAAGGCAGAUUGUAAGCAAAAAUGAACAGUGAACCCACUUUUUAUUUCAUUUUUCUAUUUAGUAUAAGAUAAAGUUCAUUUAUAGAAAAAUAGAGCGAAAUCCUAUAUUAAAUAAAAAAUUUGAUUUAGACUGGCAAGCCCCCUUAACAGACAAAAAUUCUAGGGAGGACUGGAAUAAAAAGUCAGAAUUUUUAUUGAAAAAUAAAUUAUGUCUAUAACUAUUCACACACGUGUCCUUACUUGAAAAUUCUAUCCUAUUCUGCAAAGUAACCCCAAUACUUUAAUACCAGGUAUAUAAAAAUAUUUAAAUAAAUGCAUUGCAGAACUUUACUCCUUCAUAUAUUCUUAUCCAAUAUUGGAGUGAUUAGUACUUUUAUCACAACCUAAUAGGUAAAACUUUCAUAUUUUUUAACUAUUAUUUUUAACUAUAAACUUUGGAAAAGUGAAGUUCUUUAUUUUAACUUGGUUGCCAUCUGAUUUGUUUAGUCCCUUAAAUAUUGUUUGAUUAAUCUUUAAAAUUUUCAUGAAUGUUGUACUGAAGGAAUUCUAAACUGUUGUAUUAGUUUGCCUUUGUUAGUAGUUUUUGCACAAUUUUCGAUUUUUAUGCUAUUCACCUCAGUGGCAGUGCCAGGGGGAGGGUUCUGGGGGUUGGAACCCCCCUUUUUUUUGUGCGAUCAAUGCAUUUGAAUGGGGACAUAUAGUUGGAACCCCCCCCCCCCUUUUUCAAAUGGUUGGAUCCGCCACUGCGGUUUGAAAUUGUUUUGACUUGAACAGUAUGUAGUAAAAAAACACAUCUUGCAUACCUUAAUAUUACCCUGGUAUCUUUGAUGAGUUAGAACUUAAUAAUUUACAGACAUGUAGUUGUCAAUAUUAUGGAAUUUGAUGCAAUUGUCAAAUAAGUGAGAGGUUUAGCUAGCUAUAAAACCAGGUUCAAUCCACCAUUUUCUACACAAGAAAAUGCCUGUACAAAGUCAGAAAUAUGGCAGUGAGGUCCAUUAGUUUGAUGUGCUUGAGCUUUUGAUUUUGACAUUUGAUUCAAUUUUGAAUUUUUCUCAGAGUUCAGUAUUUUCGGGAUUUUACUUUUGAAUGGAUCUGGGGUUUAAUAUAUGCCCUCUGAUGAAUGGUGUCUCUCGUUUAUUUAGGGAAGCAAAACUAAUAAACAUGACUAUAUAUGUUUGAAACUGUUACCUUUUAGACGCCUAACUGUUAUUCAAAUAUCUGCUCAUCAUUUGAUACAAACAAAAAGAACAUUUGUUAACAUUUAAAACUGUUACUUAUAUGUUAUGUGUGGCUUUGUCAAAAUAUUUACAAGUCUUUAUCAAUCAUAGCUGUAUAAAGAAGAUAGUUAGAACUUUCUUUAUUGCUAUAUAUUACACUAUUUAUAAUUAGAUUCAAUUAAGUUAUCAAAAACAAUCAUAAACUACGAUUUAACAACAAUGUACUGAUAAAUAAUAAAACAUAUAUUUAAAAAAAAGUUAUAAAAUACUUCCACAAUGUUUUAUAAUGUAAUUCAGUAAAAAAAAAUUGUCAUGUCACAAUAAUAAUUGGCACCAAC
rnacentral:lncRNA from 1 species